UAGCUGAUUUGAGAGGAGAUCAGCCACUUGGGACUGAGACACGGCCCAAACUCCUACGGGAGGCAGCAGUGGGGAAUCUUGCACAAUGGAGGAAACUCUGAUGCAGCGAUGCCGCGUGAGUGAAGAAGGCCCUUGGGUUGUAAAGCUCUUUCGUCGGGGAAGAAAAUGACUGUACCCGAAUAAGAAGGUCCGGCUAACUUCGUGCCAGCAGCCGCGGUAAUACGAAGGGACCUAGCGUAGUUCGGAAUUACUGGGCUUAAAGAGUUCGUAGGUGGUUGAAAAAGUUGGUGGUGAAAUCCCAGAGCUUAACUCUGGAACUGCCAUCAAAACUUUUCAGCUAGAGUAUGAUAGAGGAAAGCAGAAUUUCUAGUGUAGAGGUGAAAUUCGUAGAUAUUAGAAAGAAUACCAAUUGCGAAGGCAGCUUUCUGGAUCAUUACUGACACUGAGGAACGAAAGCAUGGGUAGCGAAGAGGAUUAGAUACCCUCGUAGUCCAUGCCGUAAACGAUGUGUGUUAGACGUUGGAAAUUUAUUUUCAGUGUCGCAGCGAAAGCGAUAAACACACCGCCUGGGGAGUACGACCGCAAGGUUAAAACUCAAAUGAAUUGACGGGGACCCGCACAAGUAGUGGAGCAUGUGGUUUAAUUCGAAGAUACGCGCAGAACCUUACCAACACUUGACAUGUUCGUCGCGACUCUAAGAGAUUAGAGUUUUCGGUUCGGCCGGACGAAACACAGGUGCUGCAUGGCUGUCGUCAGCUCGUGUCGUGAGAUGUUGGGUUAAGUCCCGCAACGAGCGCAACCCUCACUUUUAGUUGCCAUCAUUAAGUUGGGCACUCUGAAAGAACUGCCAGUGAUAAGCUGGAGGAAGGUGGGGAUGACGUCAAGUCCUCAUGGCCCUUACGUGUUGGGCUACACACGUGCU
rnacentral:rRNA from 1 species